rnacentral:rRNA from 1 species
UACGGGGGGAGCAAGCGUUGUUCGGAUUUACUGGGCGUAAAGGGCGCGUAGGCGGCGUGGUAAGUCAGCUGUGAAAUCUCCGAGCUUAACUCGGAACGGUCAGCUGAUACUGCUGUGCUAGAGUACAGAAAGGGCAAUCGGAAUUCUUGGUGUAGCGGUGAAAUGCGUAGAUAUCAAGAGGAACACCUGAGGCGAAGGCGGGUUGCUAGGCUGAUACUGACGCUGAGGCGCGAAAGCUAGGGUAGCAAACGGG